CAAGGGGUAUUUAGCCCUAUGCCUUAGCCCUUCCCCCCCGUCUAAUUGAGAAUCUGGACAGCACUACCCCUUCACGUGUAUGUGCAAAACUGAGGGGUAGGGGUAAGGGGGGGGGUAAAGGGGUGAAUUGGGAUUCAGCCUU